AGAGAGAGAAAGAGAGGUUCUCCUCUUCCCACCAUAGAGGAAGAGAGAGAGAGCUGUACGUGACGCUUCCGCCCAUGAGGGCUCUUGGCAAAACACGCGAGCGAGGAAAAAAGAAAAUGGGGAAGAGAGAAAGGGGAACCGAAGGCGGAGAACGACGAUGGCGAAGAGGGUUGCAGGGAAGAAAACUAGAAGCGGGAACGGUGUUGAGGAUCGAGAGAUCGAAUCGCUGUUUCCUUGGGAGAUCGGCUUCCACGGGAUGUGACCUCUCUUCGACUCGUUCGAGAAUUCUUUCCGACGCUCCUCCAAGAUUUUUUUCCCAUAUUCUUUCCUUUUUCUUCUCGGAAUACGCUUCGACCUCCGUUUUUCCGUUAGAUCGCGCAUCGCUUCAUCGAAUUCCUGCUUCUUGCCUCGUGUUUUUCAGUAAAAUGACUUUAGAGUAAAACGUAGAACAGAACUAAACGGGAAUAAGAAUCGAAUGUUAUUUACUUUUGCUGCAUGGGCCAGAAAGUUCAACCUUCGUUUAUUUCAGAUAAAGUACGAACACAGACCCUGGGAAACUAUGGCAAGUCUAUUUUUCUUGAUUUCCUGAUUUCUAUGUUAUUUCAUGUAAGCUGCAACCAAGAGAACGUCGAUUAUUCGACGCGACGCGGAUCGGCUCUAUCACGGAUAAUCGAAAAUUCGGAUAAUAUGGAAAGGUCUAAUUAAGAUUUAUAAAUCGUAUGGUAAAAUCGUAAGGAAGAGUUUAAUAAUGCAAUGUCGUACACGCAUUUAGGUUUAAUUCGCUAUUUAAUCGGUUGAAAGUUUGAUUAACUGCUUUCACAAUACUCUUCGUAUUAAAAUUUCGAAAAAAUUAAGUUACGGUGAAGUUUAAAGCACCUCGGAUAAUACGGAACUUCGGUUGAACGGGACUCGAAAAACCGAGACUCCAGCGUAUUUUAAUACGAAAUAGUUAACCGAUAUUGCUAUUGCCAGAUAUCCUUUUUAUCCGUUAAAAUAGGAGCCAACAAAAAGAAGACGAGAAAAAUGCAUAAUCGUCCAGAGAUUUAUUAUUUUUUAUUUAUCUUUCUAUAACAAAACGCAAUCUGCAUUUCACUCGAAUCUGUUUUAAUGUAUUGACAUUGUUUGGUGCAAACUUGACAAUCUAAUGCUAUAUGUAACUAAUGCGUAAUUUGGAAUUACCGUGUUCCUCUUUGUGCAGAACGUACUUUGAUUGGACAAUAUUUUGUGUUGAUCAAUGGGAACCAAAAUAUCGAUAAUACACUGAUUAUAUUUUUGGCAAUGGUACGUGCGGCACUUUAACACUUAAGGGAACGUUUAAAUUGAACAAAAGUGCCUAUUAUUAUCGAAAAGUCAGAGAGAUAUGGAGAGAGAGAGAGAGAGAGAGAGAGAGAGAGUUAAGCGGCACGUGCUUGUUAAUUUGUUCCCCGCACGUGUCACCGAUAAAACCGCGUCAAAAUAUUGCUGGCAAUUUGAAUAGGCCAAUUAUGAAGAUAGAGCCGAAAAUACGCCCAUCUUUUUAAAAAGAGAAAGAUUAUUCGCACAGACAUCGCUUUAGUUUUAAUUCACAGUAUUACGCGGCUGCGUUAUAAAUAAAAGAAGGCACAAGAUACCAGAAAGAGGAAGAAAAGAAGUAGAAAUGAAAAGAGAAGUUCGGUGAAGAAGCAAAGAAAUGUAUUUAGAAGCUUAUAGAUAUCGAUGUUGAUUCUUUUAAUAUUCUCAAAGACGUUUCUUGUAAAUUCGCGAUAUUCGGCAAUGCCGAUGUUUUUAGCACUUGGGUUACGGAUCACUUCAAGUGCAAAUGAGUCGCUCCAUCGAACGAAGCAAAAAGCGAAAGUUUAUGCACGAUGUUUGAGCGCCUUUGACGAACAUUCGUCUAAACGGAGACGACACGUACGAUCCCAGAAGAGGUACUGCGUGUAGAUCAAAGCCAGUGAAUUUUCGAUGCACCGACCGAGGGUGCAGGGGCAUUCUGAAAAGGGGGUGCACACCAUAUCGACAGGGCGUGGUCGAAAUCUGUCACACUAGCCGCGAACAAACCUGAUGCCUUGUCAGCAAUAGUAUAGAAUUUCUUCCGAUUACUACGCUUUUCUCCCAGUGUAAAUUCGAAAUUUCUCGAACGAUCGUCGAACACGGUGUAACGAAAGGUAAUCACGCCUUAAGAUAUAAUAAUAAUCCACGAAAAUUGACGAGAAGGAUAAAACUGUUUUAUUUCUUUUUCAUUAAGAGAAAAUUCCAAUGAGGUUUCUAGUAAUUAAUUUUAGAAGAGAUUAUGCUAUCGUAGCAGUGGUAGUUCGUUCGUUUCAACUUAUUAGUCUAGAAAGUGGACUUGAUUACGUAAAUUACGAUAUAUUACAUCGUCUUAUACGUUAUCCUUAUCCCGUAUUGUCGUCGAAUCUGCCUCUUACAUGAUUAUCUCUUUGAUCUCUAUUCUGGAGCCAUCGAGAUUAUUCUAUUGUUUAAUCAAAUACAUUAGAAAUGUUAGUAUUUAAAUAUCAAGCAGCUCUCAUCCAGCGAUGAACAUAUUUUCGAUGCAAUAAACGACAUAGACUUUUAAAACGAACAUAUUUACGAACUCGUGUUUAUGCGUCAUAUGAGAAAAUGAGUGGGUGGUUCUCCCAUAUGGGCAACGGAUGAUUAUCGCUCGAAUCGAGACACAAUUUUUAUCAACGAUCGAUGAUACAUUAUAACGUCAAAAGAAUGUCGUAUUUUUGAACUGUGACCGUUCUUACUCUCUUUUUUAAAUGCAGUUCUUCUUUCAUUUAAGGUACGAUAGAAUUCCAAUUUUGGAAUGUUACGCGUGUCUCUUUAAUACGAGCACUCAUACUAAUUAAUAAUUAAUAUAUCAUAGCAUUGCGUUAAACUAGCUCGUAAAAUAUGAACACCCACUAAAAUCGCAUAAAUAUGCGGACGUUUCAGUUUGGAUUAUUAGUCUUUCUUUUUCUUCUUUUUUUUGGUCAAAAACAAGUAAGUGGUCAUGUAUUUUUAAGCAUAACACGAUGGUCUACGUAGAAAUAGUUGGCAUACUAUUUAUGAAAUUGUAUUCGAAUUCCAGGUGGACUUCUAUGUAACUUCAAACCACUGUUUGUACAUAGUCGCCGUUUCACCGAUUUAAUUUGCAAGGGGUAGACCGCUUAGAUUAGAUCAGAUCUUACGGAUUGGAAAGCCGACUUUACGGUCUACAUGGACCAUAUGCAGUUUCUGCUUCAUAAGGGUGAUCCGACUACCCUACUUAAUCGAUAAGAUGCGAAAGCAACGAUAAACUCGCUUGUCUUUCCAUGAUACUGUUCUGCAAGGGAAUUAUCAUUUUCUAUCGAAUAUUAUAGGAAAUAAGAAACCAGUGGUGCUAUGCGAGUGAUAAAAAGAUGUUUAUCAUCGUUUAAUCAAUUAUAAUAUCCGAAUAACAAGAUUAAAAAAAAAGAAAUUUCUUUAAAUAGAAUUAAUCGAUGCGGCUAAAUCACACUCUUGCGUGAAAAACAGAAAAUACGUUUUUCUCUUACGUUGUUCGUGCUGUACGCGUGGUUAUUUUACUCGUUCGGCAGAAACGAAAAACGUGAAAUAUCGUCAACAUAAAAACGUAAGACAGCGGUUAUUGAAACAAACUUUGUUCGACUCAUGGGAACGUUAACGGAGAUCAUAAGCGUGGCAAGCAGGUCUGAAUGAAUAAUUAUCGAUAGAAUAAGCGAAACCUCAAUGGGGACAAUUCUGGUCUCGAAUUGGCCGACUUUUCACUCUGUCCACCCGUAAGUUUUUGCGACUAUUGUCGACGAAAUUGCAGCCUUGAAAAACGGCGACACGCGCGAUGGGCGUUCUGUUUUCAAAGUGCGAUUCAAAGAGACGAAAUUGCCGGCCUUCAGCGUGAUACUUCGUCUUUUGUACGACGUUGACAAAACGUACGCUUUUAUCGACGUUGCACAUUUCAGACAUUCGAUGCAUGUCGACGAGUUUUCCUGAAAAUUUUCCAUCGUCGAACGGAAUUGUAGGCGGUAAAACAAAGCAUGGGAAGUUGCGGCCAAAAUAUUCAAUAUAACUAUGUAACUGAAUUAUGUUACGCUGAUGCGAUACACGGUUAGUGUACACAGCAGCUCUAUUAAAUAGAACGAAACAUUAUUGUACCGUGAAUGUAUAGGAAUGCUUUUUUCCUCCCGCGAUAAUUUUCCGUCGUUAGAUAUUUAUUUUAAUCGAUAUACCCCGACCGUGACGAAUCGACACGUUUUAUUCGCAAAUUAUCGAAAAGGUGGAUACCGUUUGAAAAUCAUACGAGAGAAACGUAGCAAGUCUAUAUUUGUUAGUAAUUCUCUGAUUUUUCCAGUAUCCACGUUACGCUUAUUAAGGUUGGGCAAAGUUUCUUAAUAUAUUGAAACAUUUGCCACAGUUAGUAGAAAUAAAAAUAUUAUUUAUUUAGCGCAUACAGCUACAGCGUCAAUGAAAUUUCACCAUGUUUUAUAUAAUACGAUAUAUACGAUAAAUGUUUUCUACAGCCAGUACGUUCAAGUACUUUGGCGUGGUACUGUACGUUUACCGAAACUUCCGUUCAAAAUUAUAAUUAAAUUAUUGACGAAGCAUAACUUUUCAGAUAAACAGAUAUUUGUCCUGUAUCUCUCGCCUCUCUUUUUUCGAAGACAGCAAGGAUGAUCGUGAAAGGAAGGAUGACCUAAAUAUGGGCAACACGAGUAACGAACUGAUUCUUGCUAUCGCGACGAAAACGAUGACCAACUUUUUUCCGUGAGUUCGAGCAACUUUGAAGACGCUGAAGCUCUCGAAACUUUACGUUCCUCCUUUAUAGCAACCCUCCUCAUACUCUCUGGUUACAUGCUUCUUCGAACUCACCCUUGGACGAGAGAAUCCUGGCGCCUCGUUUUGAGGGAGGGUCGAACGAAGAGGGCGUCAAGGAGACGAGUCUAAGGGUUCCGCGAGGAUUCGUCGAAAAAGGAGAAUCUACUUCCGACGUAGAUGCGUCUGAGAACGUGGAUCGUUCCGGAUUACGCCGAAGGUAUCGGUGUUUGGUAAUGAGUAAAAAUCUACCGCGUGUCUACGUUCGAAAAUAAGAGAACCUCGCGGAGAAGCAACUCCUUAUACGCGUGCCGGAAAGCAAGAACACGAAGUGUAAGUUUCGAACGAAAGAAACGAAAUCAUCGACGCGAGCAAAUAUCGAUAUUCAAAGAGGAAACCAUAGAAAGAGUAUAAAGGAUAAAUAAAGAAAUCGCUCGGAAGAAAUUUGAUAUUCGGCGAAAGAACGAUAUUAAAACAUCGGACAUGGAUUUAACGUUACAACGAAAUAAUGAAAAUUGAGGUUGAAAAAAUUUAUUUGACGACGUAGGAAGAAGGGAAAAAAAUUGAACGAGAGAGAGAGCAGACGAAAAGAAACGAAGUAAAACUUCGCAUGUACGGUACGCGGGUUUCGAGAGAGGAUGGAGACUCGUUCAUGGAAUUACAAAUCAUCGAAAAGCUGUGCGCAAAACACAAAGACAGGGAUGGAAAUUCGUUGAAAAACCUAUUCUAUUCGUUACAAGCUCGUGUCGAACUCAGCUCGUAGGCAAACGACUCACGCGGCCGUGAAACGAAGAGUUUCUCGACUCGCACACGUACUAGUUGGGUCAGCCGUAUGCGUGUACGUUACGAUCAA